rnacentral:rRNA from 1 species
UACGGAGGGUGCGAGCGUUGUCCGGAAUCACUGGGCGUAAAGGGCUCGUAGGUGGCCAACUAAGUCAGACGUGAAAUCCCUCGGCUUAACCGGGGAGCUGCGUCUGAUACUGGAUGGCUUGAGUUCGGGAGAGGGAUGCGGAAUUCCAGGUGUAGCGGUGAAAUGCGUAGAUAUCUGGAGGAACACCGGUGGCGAAGGCGGCAUCCUGGACCGACACUGACGCUGAUGAGCGAAAGCCAGGGGAGCAAACGGG